GUGACCUGCGGAGGGAUCAUUAUCGAGUUUACACUCCGGGCUGCUGUGGGAUCUUUACCAAGCUGUUGCCUCCCUUGGAAAUUUAUGCCCCGGCCGCGUCGCUUCCCCGGACCAAGGCGCCCGCCGGAGGACCAACCAAAACCCUCUUGUAUGUCCCUCGCGGACUUUUGUAAUUCUGAACCAUCUCGGCGCCCCUAGCGGGCGUUUCUAGAAUGAAUCAUAACUUUCAACAACGGAUCUCUUGGUUCUGGCAUCGAUGAAGAACGCAUCGAAAUGCGAUCAGUAAUGUGAAUUGCCCAAUUCAGUGAAUCAUCUAAUCUUUGAACGCACAUUGCGCCCGCCAGUAUUCUGGCGGGCAUGCCUGUCCGAGCGUCAUUUCAACCCUCGAACCCCUCCGGGGGUCCGGCGUUGGGGAUCGGCCCUUACCGGCCGGCCCCGAAAUACAGUGGCGGUCUCGCCGCAGCCUCUCUUGCGCAGUAGUUUGCACACUCGCAUCGGGAGCGCGGCGCGUCCACGUCCGUAAAACACCCAACUUCUGAAAUGUUGACCUCGGAUCAGGUAGGAAUACCCGCUGAACUUAAGCAUAUCA
rnacentral:rRNA from 1 species